CACGUGAAAUUGGGUCGGAAUCUGGGAGGACCAUCUCCCAAGGCUAAAUACUAACUAGUGACCGAUAGCGAACAAGUACCGUGAGGGAAAGGUGAAAAGAACCCCGGAAGGGGAGUGAAAUAGUUCUUGAAACCGUGUGCUUACAAGAAGUUCGAGGCCGUUAAUGGCUGAGAGCGUGCUUUUUGUAGAAUGAACCGGAGAGUUACGAUUGCGUGCAAGGUUAAGGUGCAAAGACUGGAGCCGUAGCGAAAGCGAGUCUUAAUAGGGCGAAUCAGUACGUAGUUGUAGACCCGAAACCGAGUGACCUAUCCAUGGUCAGGUUGAAGGUGGGGUAAUACCUACUGGAGGACCGAACAAGUGGGUGUUAAAAAACCCUUUGAUGAACUGUGGAUAGCGGUGAAAUUCCAAUCGAACUCGGAGAUAGCUGGUUCUAUCCGAAAUACAUUUAGGUGUAGCCUUGCAAUUAGCUUACUGGAGGUAGAGCACUAUUUGGUCUAGGGGCCCUUCAAGGGUUACCAAAAUCAGAUAAACUCCGAAUGCCAGCUAAGUAUGUGCAGGAGUCAGACGGUGAGUGAUAAGAUCCAUCGUCAAAAGGGGAACAGCCCAGAUCACCAGUUAAGGUCCCUAAAUAU
rnacentral:rRNA from 1 species